GACGAACGCUGGCGGCGUGCUUAACACAUGCGAGUCGAACGGAAAGGCCCUGCUUUUGUGGGGUGCUCGAGUGGCGAACGGGUGAGUAACACGUGAGUAACCUGCCUUUGACUUUGGGAUAACUUCAGGAAACUGGGGCUAAUACCGGAUAGGAGCUCCUGCUGCAUGGUGGGGGUUGGAAAGUUUCGGCGGUUGGGGAUGGACUCGCGGCUUAUCAGCUUGUUGGUGGGGUAGUGGCUUACCAAGGCUUUGACGGGUAGCCGGCCUGAGAGGGUGACCGGCCACAUUGGGACUGAGAUACGGCCCAGACUCCUACGGGAGGCAGCAGUGGGGAAUAUUGCACAAUGGGCGGAAGCCUGAUGCAGCAACGCCGCGUGCGGGAUGACGGCCUUCGGGUUGUAAACCGCUUUCGCCUGUGACGAAGCGUGAGUGACGGUAAUGGGUAAAGAAGCACCGGCUAACUACGUG
rnacentral:rRNA from 1 species